rnacentral:rRNA from 1 species
GUACACUCCUGCGGGAGGCAGCAGUGGGGAAUUUUGGACAAUGGGCGAAAGCCUGAUCCAGCAAUGCCGCGUGAGUGAAGAAGCCCUUCGGGUUGUAAAGCUCUUUUGUCAGGGAAGAAACGGUGAGAGCUAAUAUCUUUUGCUAAUGACGGUACCUGAAGAAUAAGCACCGGCUAACUACGUGCCAGCAGCCGCGGUAAUACGUAGGGUGCAAGCGUUAAUCGGAAUUACUGGGCGUAAAGCGUGCGCAGGCGGUUUUGUAAGUCUGAUGUGAAAUCCCCGGGCUCAACCUGGGAAUUGCAUUGGAGACUGCAAGGCUAGAAUCUGGCAGAGGGGGGUAGAAUUCCACGUGUAGCAGUGAAAUGCGUAGAUAUGUGGAGGAACACCGAUGGCGAAGGCAGCCCCCUGGGUCAAGAUUGACGCUCAUGCACGAAAGCGUGGGGAGCAAACAGGAUUAGAUACCCCAGUAGUCCC